CUGGAUCCAAGGUACCCCGAGAGGCCCAUCCUCUGGGAGCGGAGAGCCCGGAACUAAGAACUGUAGACCCAGAGAGGUGAGACUGGCCCCAAGCACCUGGGUCCUCAAGAAGAGUCACCGUUUCCGUGCCAGGAGGAUCCAAGGUGGGGAAACUGAGGCUGAGAGAGAAGGACGUUGACCAAGGUCACAGGGCAGGAGCAGCAGAGACAGAGUCUCGCUAUGUUGCUCAGACUGGUCUCCAACUUCUGGCUCAAGCGAUCCUCCUGCCUUGACCUCGCUAAGUGCUGGGAUUACCGAAUGGGAGCCACCAUGCCCAGUCUUUACUCAAAAUUCACCUUCUCCCUGGGUCUUCUCUGGAGACCCUAGCUUUAAAAAUAAACAAGUAAAAGACAAACCUUGCCCUUCUCCUAGUGACACCGCAGACUCCUUCCUUGCCUGGGGCUGGGUUUUGCUCGCUGCUGCGUCCCUGGUUUUGGGGUACACAGAGGAUGCUCGUACUUAGUUGUGGGAUGGAUGAAGAGCUAGGGACUGCCUGCAGGAGCGGCCCUGGUAGGCAGGGCCAGG
rnacentral:lncRNA from 1 species